GAUGAACGCUGGCGGCGUGCCUAAUACAUGCAAGUCGAGCGAACAGACGAGGAGCUUGCUCCUCUGACGUUAGCGGCGGACGGGUGAGUAACACGUGGAUAACCUACCUAUAAGACUGGGAUAACUUCGGGAAACCGGAGCUAAUACCGGAUAAUAUAUUGAACCGCAUGGUUCAAUAGUGAAUGACGGUUUUGCUGUCACUUAUAGAUGGAUCCGCGGCGCAUUAGCUAGUUGGUAAGGUAACGGCUUACCAAGGCAACGAUGCGUAGCCGACCUGAGAGGGUGAUCGGCCACACUGGAACUGAGACACGGUCCAGACUCCUACGGGAGGCAGCAGUAGGGAAUCUUCCGCAAUGGGCGAAAGCUUGACGGAGCAACGCCGCGUGAGUGAUGAAGGUCUUCGGAUCGUAAAACUCUGUUAUUAGGGAAGAACAAAUGUGUAAGUAACUAUGCACGUCUUGACGGUACCUAAUCAGAAAGCCACGGCUAACUACGUG
rnacentral:rRNA from 1 species